AUUGAACGCUGGCGGCAGGCCUAACACAUGCAAGUCGAGCGAGCGGCGGACGGGUGAGUAAUGUAUGGGAAUCUGCCCGAUAGAGGGGGAUAACUACUGGACACUGUGGCUAAUACCGCAUACUUUCGGCUGACCCCAUAUGGGCUUAGCUAGUCGGGGGGGUAAAGGCUCACCUAGGCGACGAUCUCUAGCUGUUCUGAGAGGAUGAUCAGCCACACUGGAACUGAGACACGGUCCAGACUCCUGCGGGAGGCAGCAGUGGGGAAGAUUGCACAAUGGGCGCAAGCCUGAUGCAGCCAUGCCGCGUGUAUGAAGAAGGCCUUAGGGUUGUAAAGUACUUUCAGCGGGGAGGCGUUACCCGCAGAAGAAGCACCGGCUAACUCCGUGCCAGCAGCCGCGGUAAUUC
rnacentral:rRNA from 1 species